rnacentral:rRNA from 1 species
AGUGAACGCUGGCGGUAGGCCUAACACAUGCAAGUCGAACGGCAGCACAGGAAGAGCUUGCUCUUACGGGUGGCGAGUGGCGGACGGGUGAGGAAUACAUCGGAAUCUACUUUUUCGUGGGGGACAACGUAGGGAAACUUACGCUACUACCGCAUACGACCUACGGGUGAAAGCAGGGGAUAUUCGGACCUUGCGCGAUUGAAUGAGCCGAUGUCGGGUUAGUUAGUUGGCGGGGUAAAGGCCCACAAAGGCGACGAUCCGUAGCUGGUUUGAGAGGAUGACCGCCACAACGGGACCUGGACCCCGCUCCAGCCCCCUCGGGGGGCCGCAGGUGGGGAACUUUGGCCAUUGGGCGCAAGCCUACCCCAGCCCUACCCCGUGGGUAAAGAAGGUCUUCGGGUUUUAAACCCCUUUUGUUGGGAAAGAAGAUCAGCAGGUUAAAACCCCGAUGUUCUGACGGUACCCAACGAAUAAGCACCGGCUAACUUCGUG